GACGAACGCUGGCGGCGUGCUUAACACAUGCAAGUCGAACGGUGAAGGGAUCAGCUUGCUGGUUCUGGAUGAGUGGCGAACGGGUGAGUAACACGUGAGUAACCUGCCCCCUUCUUCUGGAUAACCGCAUGAAAGUGUGGCUAAUACGGGAUAUUCUGCGCCUGCUGCAUGGUGGGUGUGGGAAAGAUAUUGUUUCGGUGGGGGAUGGGCUCGCGGCCUAUCAGCUGGUGGGUGGGGUGAUGGCCUACCAAGGCGGGGACGGGUAGCCGGCCUGAGAGGGGGUACGGUCACACUGGGACCUCGACACGGCCCAGACUGCUACGGGAGGCAGCAGUGGGGAAUAUUGCACAAUGGGCGCAAGCCUGAUGCAGCGACGCCGCGUGAGGGAUGGAGGCCUUCGGGUUGUGAACCUCUUUCGCCAGUGAAGCAGGCCUGUCCCUUGUGGGUGGGUUGACGGUAGCUGGAUAAGAAGCGCCGGCUAACUACGUG
rnacentral:rRNA from 1 species